ACAUGCCUACAACAUGACGUUAAUGCACCGAAUCCCAUUAGAACUCCGUAGUUAAGCAUGCUAGGAUAGAUUAAUACAUGGAUGGGUGACCACCCUAGAAGUCCUAGUGUGUUACAUGCC
rfam:Picea glauca, whole genome shotgun sequence.